rnacentral:rRNA from 1 species
AAUAUCAAAGGUGAGCCAGUACAGGAUGGACCCGCGUCUGAUUAGCUAGUUGGUAAGGUAACGGCUUACCAAGGCGACGAUCAGUAGCCGACCUGAGAGGGUGAUCGGCCACAUUGGAACUGAGACACGGUCCAAACUCCUACGGGAGGCAGCAGUGGGGAAUAUUGCACAAUGGGCGAAAGCCUGAUGCAGCAACGCCGCGUGAGGGAUGAAGGCCUUCGGGUCGUAAAACUCUGUCCUCAAGGAAGAUAAUGACGGUACUUGAGGAGGAAGCCCCGGCUAACUACGUGCCAGCAGCCGCGGUAAUACGUAGGGGGCUAGCGUUAUCCGGAUUUACUGGGCGUAAAGGGUGCGUAGGCGGUCUUUCAAGUCAGGAGUGAAAGGCUACGGCUCAACCGUAGUAAGCUCUUGAAACUGGGAGACUUGAGUGCAGGAGAGGAGAGUGGAAUUCCUAGUGUAGCGGUGAAAUGCGUAGAUAUUAGGAGGAACACCAGUUGCGAAGGCGGCUCUCUGGACUGUAACUGACGCUGAGGC